rnacentral:SRP_RNA from 1 species
GCUGGGCGCGGUGGCUCACGCCUGUAAUCCCAACACUUUGGGAGGCCGAGGUGGGUGGAUCACUUGAGGUCAGGAGUUCGGGACCAGCCUGGCCAACAUGGUGAAACCCCAUCUCUA